GUAAUGACCCAGCCACACCCGGUCUCUAUUCAAACCCAAGUUAAUAGUAUCUAGUUUGCAUAUUAAUUCAAGCUCAGCAGUUUCUCUUUGGAGUCUGUUUUUGAAGUUUUUUUCUCCUUAGCUUCUUAACUUAAAUCUAGUGAAACAAGGAGCUCACCCUGCUGCUCAGAACAAGAAGGAGCACAGCCUGUGGAUAGGCACCUAACUACAAAAAUGUUACCCUUCAACUUAGACCUUAGGAGAUAAGAACCGCCCUUUAUCAACAGUCAUAAAACAAAAAGCAUGUCUGCCUCCCCAUACAACCCCCUUUCUACAAACCUAAUAAUAUCAGUUGCCUGAUACAGAAAACAUAUCUAAAAGGGGAAAUCAAUAAUCCUCUUGGGAUGUAGAUGUUUAUACUCAUCAACAACAUUUUGUCCUGUAAGAAAACACAUGAUUAACUGGUUUCAGAGUAGCAGCCGUGUUAGUCUGUAUCCGCAAAAAGAACAGGAAUACUUGUGGCAUCCGAUGAAGUGGGCUGCAGCCCAUGAAAGCUUAUGCUCAAAUAAAUUCGUUCGUCUCUCAGGUGCCACAAGUACUCCUGUUCUUUUUACAUGAUUAACUGGCAUGCAGUCAGAUUGUUCUAUAACCUUCAUUAGCAGCACCAGAUUCUACUAACUUUUCACUAACUGCUGUAAAUGAAACAAAGUCAUUAUGGAUCUUAGAUUUCUGGCUACAAACCUGAAUAAACAACAACGAAGUGGCUUAGUAACUGUUACUGAAACCACACUGUGUGUCACUGCCUCAGAGAAAUAACUAUUUAAUUCAAUAAACAGCUGUGAACUGCACAUAGAACAGAGAUGAAGGUAAAUUUCUUAUUUCAUUUUCAGCAUGGGUGCUGCAGUAAGAGAUCUUCCACUGACUGCUCCUGUCUGAACUAAGACAGUAGCUCUGCUGUUCGGUUACUUUGACAUUCACCAACAACUUCAACAUCACCCUAGCUAGACCUGACCUCUAAGAACAGUGUUCACUUGGCCUUAAGACCAGAAAGGCUCUUCCUCUAAGGGGGGACAUGAAUAAGUGUUCACAUCACACUCCCAGUCAGAAACUGGCCUGAACCAGGAAAGCUAAUGAUCCAACCAGUGAACCAAAUUCAGUGAUGAAUCCUGGUCAUGUGCUGCCUGAGGCACACUGCGCAUACACUAAGAAGAUUCUUCGAGUGAAUUCUUCCAAAAGAAAACAGGUGGAAAAUACCAAAUGGGAAACGAAAGGAACUAGUGAUGACAACCAAAAAUGACACAGAAAAAUUGUUAUAGCACAUGGUCUCAUAAAAUGUAAAGCAGACUAAAUGAACUUGAUAAUGUAAUCCACCUGGCAAAUGGCAAACCACUCUGUCUCAAUACCUCAAUCACCAAUGACAUAACAAUCUGUUAUCUUUAUAGCAAAGGAAGAAAGCAAUGUACAGAAACCAGGGAUCAUAUUCUGAGAGAUUAAAUUAACAUAGCAAGAUGUAUAAAGAUAUAUUUUACAAUCAUAUAAUGUACAACCCCAAGAUUACUGAUACUUGAAGGAGUUAAAACACAUUAAGCAUAGAUUACAAAGUAGGUAUCUUUAUUCAACCUCUCCUUAUUUGAAUCCCAAAAUAAGAUUUACUUCUACUGUGAUAUCUACACAUUAUUAGCUAAUCAAGAUUAGGUAAAGAGGUGAUUGGGGAGAGUAUGCAUAAACAACAUGUAUUAUUACUUAAGAACAGCCAUACUGGGUCAGACCAAAGGUUCAUCUAGCCCAAUAUCCUUUCUUCCAACAGUGGCCAAUGCCAGGUUCCCCAGAGGGAAUGAAGUGAACAGGAAUCAUCAAGUGAUCCAUUCCCUAUGUUAAAAGACAUGAAAUGAUCAAGACCUAUGCCAGUCCUCCCCUUCACCACUUUGCUUGUAUGUUGCACCCUUUUCCUGACACAGUCUCUUUGUCUGUCUUUUUGCCCCAAAGAUCUUACAAUCCAAAGACUGUUUCUUCUAAUACAUCUGUACUGUGCCUCACACACUGUGGAUGUUAAUGUGAUAUAAGUAAUAAUUCAUAAAAUGCAUAUUUUUACUCAGCACCUCUGUUUGGAUCAAAUUAAAUUUAAUAAAAUUAUGUGAUUUCUGAGGUUAAACA